rnacentral:rRNA from 1 species
AUUGAACGCUGGCGGCAGGCCUAACACAUGCAAGUCGAGCGGAUGAAGGGAGCUUGCGCCUGGAUUCAGCGGCGGACGGGUGAGUAAUGCCUAGGAAUCUGCCUGGUAGUGGGGGAUAACGUCCGGAAACGGGCGCUAAUACCGCAUACGUCCUGAGGGAGAAAGUGGGGGAUCUUCGGACCUCACGCUAUCAGAUGAGCCUAGGUCGGAUUAGCUAGUUGGUGGGGUAAAGGCCUACCGAGGCGACGAUCCGUAACUGGUCUGAGAGGAUGAUCAGUCACACUGGAACUGAGACACGGUCCAGACUCCUACGGGAGGCAGCAGUGGGGAAUAUUGGACAAUGGGCGAAAGCCUGAUCCAGCCAUGCCGCGUGUGUGAAGAAGGUCUUCGGAUUGUAAAGCACUUUAAGUUGGGAGGAAGGGCAGUAAGUUAAUACCUUGCUGUUUUGACGUUACCAACAGAAUAAGCACCGGCUAACUUCGUG